UUCUUGGAGAGUUUGAUCCUGGCUCAGGACGAACGCUGGCGGCGUGCCUAAUACAUGCAAGUCGAGCGAAUCUUAAGG
rnacentral:rRNA from 1 species